rnacentral:rRNA from 1 species
UACAGAGGGGGCAAGCGUUAUUCGGAAUUAUUGGGCGUAAAGGGCGCGUAGGCGGCUAUUCAAGUGGCGGGUGAAAUCCCCCGGCUUAACCGAGGAACUGCCUGUCAGACUGGAUGGCUUGAGACCGGGAGAGGUGAGUGGAAUUCCCAGUGUAGCGGCGAAAUGCGUAGAUAUUGGGAGGAACACCAGUGGCGAAGGCGGCUCACUGGACCGGUACUGACGCUGAGGCGCGAAAGCGUGGGGAGCAAACAGG